UGAGAUGUUGGGUUAAGUCCCGCAACGAGCGCAACCCCUAUUGUUAGUUGCCAUCAUUCAGUUGGGCACUCUAGCGGGACUGCCGGUAAUAACCGGAGGAAGUGGGAUGAACGUCAAAUCAUCACUGCCCCUUAUGACCUGGGCUACACACGUGCUACAAUGGUUGGUACAACGAGUUGCGAGUCGGUGACGGCGAGCUAAUCUCUUAAAGCCAAUCUCAGUUCGGAUUGUAGGCUGCAACUCGCCUACAUGAAGUCGGAAUCGCUAGUAAUCGCGGAUCAGCACGCCGCGGUCGAAUACGUUCCCGGGCCUU
rnacentral:rRNA from 1 species